rnacentral:rRNA from 1 species
UACGGAGGGUGCAAGCGUUAUCCGGAUUCACUGGGUUUAAAGGGUGCGUAGGUGGGUUGGUAAGUCAGGUGUGAAAUCCCCGGGCUUAACCUGGGAAUUGCGCUUGAAACUAGGCUGCUUAAGUGUGGCAGAGGGGGGUGGAAUUCCACGUGUAGCAGUGAAAUGCGUAGAGAUGUGGAGGAACACCGAUGGCGAAGGCAGCCUCCUGGGCCAGCACUGACGCUCAUGCACGAAAGCGUGGGGAGCAAACAGG